rnacentral:lncRNA from 1 species
GACUCCGCAUGCGCACUGGAGCCUCGGAAUACAGCCAGGACUCUCCCGUCGGAAUGCGCCCCUAAGUUGGGCCAAGCCCAUUCAUUCAGGGGCUCCCGAGCCACGUAGGCGCCAUCCCUGGCCAGAGGGGUUCUGAGGAGGUGGGCAAGGGCAGACACUCUCUCCCGGUCUCAAAUUCGAAAUAGGGACUAGAAGGGAACUUCACGCGAGGCCUCGCAACUGUCGCGAGAAUCAGAACAGGAAAUCUAGGAACCGAGAACACUAAGAGCCCGCGGAUUUUAAACAGGAAAAAGAAAGGGCGGAGCAAACUCUGGCGGAUAGUUGUGAGUAAUCCCUGGUCCUUGGAAUAAGUGUCGACCUGAGACAGAAGGGGAACUGUCAGAGAGCUGCCGGAGACCCUGAAAAAGGCCAGAGACGGGGACUUGUGGGGCUGACGAAUGGAAUCACCCAAGGAGAGGUCUCUGACUCUAACAAAACACCUUGGGGACGGAGCUCCUUGGCUGGGAUACAGAGCAGACAAGUCCGGGAUCUUUUAGUGAAUUGCUGCCGGCUUCUAAGGCCUGGAGCAGAUAUUCAACAACAAACUCCACGGACCUAGAAACUCUCCACUUAUCCUACUAUUGUAGACGGUGGCUUACUUUUAGUCUUCCCUAUGCUCUAAGCUUCUGGUAGUAGGAAUCGUGCCUAACUCACUACUGUAUCUUGUGAACCUAGCCCCGCGCCUGGUGGCACGUCAAAUUCUCGGUAAAUAUUUGUGGAUUAAAUGUGAAAGACUGCCUGAGUGUUUAACCUGGAUUUUCUGAGUCGCUGAUGGAGAACAGUAGGUAGACGGGGAACCAGCGCCCUCUGGUGGGCUUGUGGUUCGUGACGAGAACAUGCUGGAACCGUGCAUCCAGAUGCUUGUAUUGAAGAAGGAAUGAGGUAUAGAAUGUAGUUUUCUUUCCACUGUGAAGCCCUGUGUUCACAAGAUUAUCAUACGUUCACUUUCAGUCACUGACACAUGAAAUAACUGAAGUAUAAUGACAGAAUGAUGAGCUGGAGUGUGGUGGUGCACGCCUGUAGCACCAGCUACUUGGGAGACUGAGGCAGUAGGAUCCCUUGAGCUCAAGGGUUCGAGAGACCAUGUCUCUUUAAAAAUAGAAGUUUAGGGCCAGGCGUGGUGGCUCAUACCUCUUAAUCCCAGCACUUUGGGAGGCGGAGGCGGGUGGAUCACCUGAGGUCAGGAGCUUGAGACCAGCCUGGUCAAUAUGGUGAAACCCUGUCUCUACUAAAAAUACAAAAAUUAGCCCAGCGUGGUGGUGCACGCCUGUAAUCCCAGCUACUCAGGAGGCUGAGGCAGGAGAAUCGCUUGAAUCUGGGAGGCAGAGGUUGCAGUGAGCCCAGAUCACGCCACUGCACUCCAGCCUGGGUGACAGAGCAAGACCCCCUCUCAAAAAAUAAAAAUAAAAAAUAGAAUUUUAAAAAUAAAAGAGUGAAAAGAGCCCUAUACAGAUGAACAACAAAAGAUGAAACAAGGCAUACAGUCAUUGUUUAAUUUGG